rnacentral:rRNA from 1 species
UGGUCUCGCCCACGAUCACAUCACAGAGCACCUGCGGGCGCUCGCUCCCCUCGGGGGGCGAGGGCCCGCCGUUUACAGGAUCCGCCGGCGCGUGAGCUCCCCUCGGGGGGCGACCGCGCCGGGCCGGAGCCCUAACCCAUUGAACCCUCUGCCCUGAAGCAGCUUCGCACGGGGACACCCCUGCGAUAGUAACUGAGACAACUCUCAACAACGGAUAUCUUGGCUCUCGCAACGAUGAAGAACGCAGCGAAAUGCGAUACGUAGUGUGAAUUGCAGAAUUCCGUGAGUCAUCGAAUCUUUGAACGCACAUUGCCGGUCGACUCUUCGGAGGAGACCACAUCUGCCUCAGCGUCGGAAUACCCCCUCACGCACCCCCGCGUGGACCUGGCCCCCCCGGACGCCUCGGCGCCCGGGCCGGCUGAAAUGCAGAGGCUCGUGCGCGGCCCAUUCGUGGCCCCGACUAGGUAGGUAGCUCGCUACUUCUAGGCGGUGGCUCGGUGUCGCGUGCUGUGGGCCCGAAAAGGAUACCAAUCCAUUCAUUCGACCCUGAAUUCAGGAGGAGGCUACCCCGCUGAACUUAAACUAAUACUAAACGGGAAGGAAAAAUGU